CGAACGAACUCUGGUAUUGAUUGGUGCUUGCAUYWUGAUUUACAUUUGAGUGAGUGGCGAACUGGUGAGUAACACGUGGGAAACCUGCCCRGAAGCGGGGGAUAACACCUGGAAACAGAUGCUAAUACCGCAUAACAACUUGGACCGCAUGGUCSRRGYUUGAAAGAUGGCUUCGGCUAUCACUUYUGGAUGGUCCCGCGGCGUAUUAGCUAGAUGGUGAGGUAACGGCUCACCAUGGCAAUGAUACGUAGCCGACCUGAGAGGGUAAUCGGCCACAUUGGGACUGAGACACGGCCCAAACUCCUACGGGAGGCAGCAGUAGGGAAUCUUCCACAAUGGACGAAAGUCUGAUGGAGCAACSCCGCGUGAGUGAAGAAGGGUUUCGGCUCGUAAAACUCUGUUGUUAAAGAAGAACAUAUCUGAGAGUAACUGUUCAGGUAUUGACGGUAUUUAACCAGAAAGCCACGGCUAACUACGUGCCAGCMGCCGCGGUAAU
rnacentral:rRNA from 1 species